GUCUCCUCCUAAAGAGUAACGGAGGAGCACGAAGGUUGGCUAAUCCUGGUCGGACAUCAGGAGGUUAGUGCAAUGGCAUAAGCCAGCUUGACUGCGAGCGUGACGGCGCGAGCAGGUGCGAAAGCAGGUCAUAGUGAUCCGGUGGUCCUGAAUGGAAGGGCCAUCGCUCAACGGAUAAAAGGUACUCCGGGGAUAACAGGCUGAUACCGCCCAAGAGUUCAUAUCGACGGCGGUGUUUGGCACCUCGAUGUCGGCUCAUCACAUCCUGGGGCUGAAGUAGGUCCCAAGGGUAU
rnacentral:rRNA from 1 species